rnacentral:misc_RNA from 1 species
GAAAUGCGAUAAGUAAUGUGAAUUGCAGAAUUCAGUGAAUCAUCGAAUCUUUGAACGCAAAUUGCGCCCGCCAGUAUUCUGGCGGGCAUGCCUGUUCGAGCGUCAUUUCAACCAUCAAGCCCCCGGCUUGUGUUGGGGACCUGCGGCUGCCCGCAGGCCCUGAAAAACAGUGGCGGGCUCGCUGUCACACCGAGCGUAGUAGCAUACAUUCUCGCUCAGGGCGUGCUGCGGGUUCCGGCCGUUAAACGACCUUCAUAACCCAAGGUUGACCUCGGAUCAGGUAGGAAGACCCGCUGAACUUAAGC